rnacentral:lncRNA from 1 species
UAAUUAGUUUGCAGUAGAUUAUGUCAUGGCCUUUAAUAUAAGGAGGAAUUCUUAUUAUAUCUUCGAUCAUACAAUUAAGCUGUAAAGUAUUAAGCGUACCUACAUCCAAAGCUGCUCUCUUUCAUAAGUUGAACAGUUAUGAGUUAGUGCUCCGAUUGUCAGACCAAAAGGAAAUAUUUCCCAGCCUCAGUUUCCAAAAUACGUGGUUCUGAUGCUUCCCUAACGGCUAGAAGUCUCUUCCAAACAGACAAGUCUUUCCCUUAGUUUGAUCUUGACAAGGAUGAUAAUUUUGACAAUACCUAGAUUUAGUAUCCCGAACGCAGUUUGUGCCCUAAAUUUCCACCAGAGCUUCCAUGAAAGAAGUAAGUUAAUUAUUUUGAAAGUAAAUUUUAUCUUAAUGCGCAGGUACCUGUAGGUGCGAGGUUUGUUGGGGUUCCAGGAACUGAAUCUACAGAAAAUCCAAGAGGAAUUAUGGUAGAGGUAUAUUGGGAACAAGAUGAUGCCGGAGCACUCUGCAUUUCCGGUCACUCAGAUGAGACACCAAUCCCUCCUCAUGUACAACUAAGAGCAACAUCUGCUCCCACAUCUGGCAUAAGUAUUUUGGGCCGAAGACAGCAAAUUCAUGGAAUUGUAAUUGACCCUGACCAAAUCACCAAUUCAAAUAUGUGAUCUUUGUUGAAAUGUUAUCUAGUAGGAUAUUUAGUGUACACAAUAAUUAGAAAUGGUGUUGAGAAUCAAUUUUCUUUUUUUUUUUCCCCUGUAUCUUUGCAUAAACAUAGGAUGUAUCAUUCCUUUUCCAGCCAACAUUAUAUGCUUGUAAUAUUUAAAAAGUUAUAUACUAGGGCAAUAUUCAGA